CCUACGGGAGGCAGCAGUGAGGAAUAUUGGUCAAUGGACGAAAGUCUGAACCAGCCAUGCAGCGUGAAGGAUGACUGCUCUAUGAGUUGUAAACUUCUUUUAUAAGUGGGUAAACCGCGGCACGUGUGUCUUGUUGCAAGUACUGUAUGAAUAAGGAUCGGCUAACUCCGUGCCAGCAGCCGCGGUAAUACGGAGGAUCCGAGCGUUAUCCGGAUUUAUUGGGUUUAAAGGGUGCGUAGGUGGGUUGUUAAGUCAGUGGUGAAAGUUUGGGGCUCAACCGUGAAAUUGCCAUUGAUACUGGAAGACUAGAGAAGAGUUGAGGUAGGCGGAAUGUGUGGUGUAGCGGUGAAAUGCUUAGAGAUCACACAGAACACCGAUUGCGAAGGCAGCUUACCAAACUAUAACUGACAUUGAUGCACGAAAGUGUGGGUAGCAAACAGGAUUAGAUACCCGAGUAGUC
rnacentral:rRNA from 1 species